rnacentral:lncRNA from 10 species
GCUCUGCUCCAGGAUCUGGGUGGGCCCCAGCAGCGAGGAAAAUUGGAAACUGUCUUUUUACUGGGUUCCAUUGGUGUCACUGUGCUGCACAGUAUCUGCUGAGGCCUCGCCAUGCCCAAGCACAGCGCUGAGCAUAGGACACAGAGGUGUGAGGGGCCACACCUUCCACACCCACUCAGCACCUGCCUGCUGCCUGCUGCUUGCCUGCUACAUGCUGGAAAGCAGGUGUUGGGUCCCAAAGGCCUUGGAGCAGAGUCCAGGCUUUGCAGGACUGAGCAGGUGGGGAGGGGGGAAACCGAUCAUCACCGCUGCAGCACUCUCUGGGAGAGCAAGUGGCUACCUGCGCUCUGAAAGAAGGGAGCAAAGUAGGUGGAUCUGAGAACUAUUGGAAGGCAGAGUCAAGUCCCUGGGAUUUAGAGUGUGAUGACUGGGCUGAGAGACAGGGAGGACCCAGGAAGACUGAGAAUCUCCCUCUGUCCUUAAACCUGUGCACUCUGGGGACAUCUAAAAAGUUUCUGACUCAGCGCCUAGGACCGUGGGCCCCCCAUCUUAGAAACUGAAAGGAAUGUUCAUCUACCUUUAAGCAAAGGCUUGUGUUUUUAAGUGAAAUCAUCUCAGAUCCAGGAGAGAGGGCUGGGAAGACAGUGUGCAGAGGACUUGGGUGAACUCCUGGGUCUCUGGUGUCUUUCCCAGUAAUGUCUGCUGUGUCUGCAGAGCAGGAGUUUCUGCUGCUUCUUCUGAUCCCAACUCCUUGCGUCCCUCGAGUCAUUUCUAUUCUGAAUCCCACCUGUGCCCUUCACCCCAGGGCCUGUGUGGAGAAACAAGGGUGUCAAAAAUGAAUGAGACAGGACAAGGGGCAGCCCCUGUCUUAUUUUGCUUCUUUGGAACAAGUGAAGACAAACAACAACCAAAAAAAAAAAAAAAAACCAUUUCCAGGCGAAUUCCCUGGAUUAUUUUAGCAAACUCCACAGCUUUUGAUAAACUUGGGCCGAGCAUAAGGAAGCAAAGAGUCGUACAUCUUUUUCACAUCCUUGCUCCUUUCACAGCAGGCUUUCAGCGGGAGGGGAGGAGGCGAGGCCCCAGAGGGGUCCCGGAGAAAGCAGAAGAAAGCGGCGUCGACAUUUUCUGAAAUGCCAAAGGUCCCGUCUCCACUUUCAAUCUCCGCAGUUACAAAACAGAGGGCUGAGUCAUCACUCCCAUGAAGUCAGGGGAGGGGAGCCAUUCAGAAGGCAGUUGUAAUUUUUACUUUAUCUUUUACUAAAUAUUGAGGAUGGAAACCCCCAGCCUUUCCCACAUGCAUUUUCUCCAGUGGAGAGCUAGAAGACUGGGCCGUCUCUCUUGCCCUGCUUUUUGUCUUCUCUGAGGUCUUUUGAACUUUCCCCUAAGUGGGCUCAAAAGGGAUGAUUCAGUCUCCAAGAAGCCCAGCAAGUACUUUCAGAAAAGUUAGGGAAACGUUUUCAGCCAUUUCAGAAAGUUUAGAGUGGUUUUAGUUAUGGAAUCUUAACACAGUUCUAAAUUUGUUAUGUAUUCAUUAUCUGUUCUUAAACAGAUAUAUUUUCCAAAGUGAAUGCCACAAUUUUCUGUGAACAUAUUAACGAAUGUUUCAGAAAACAAAAUUAAUUAGUGGUCUAAAGUAUUUGGGAAACCACGGGUUAAAUCAAACAGCUUUCUUAGCUGCUCUGUGGGGGUGGGACGGUGGCGGGGGGGAGGGGGGGGUUCUACUCCUUUGAUAGCCGAAUCUGCACCACAGAGCUCUACAAGGGAGGCACAUUUCCCAAAGGCAGCAGAGCCUGCAGUGAAGUGCCUGCUGUGCGGGGAGGGCCCGCCCUCCUAUUAAGAGGGGCAGGUGGCUGGCGUCAGGGUGAGGGUGAGCCCUUGCCUUCACAGAAGAUGUCCACGUGGUGGUUCUGGACUAGCCUCUUCCUUUCUCUGAGCCGCUCCUCUUCCCGUGAAGGAAGUCUUCGUCCCACUUCUCAAGGCUGCCUUGAGCUCAGAGGAGGAUGCCUGGCUUGUAAGGUGCUCUCGGCAGCCACGGUUGUCCUCACUGGAAAUGGAGCUUGCACCACACAGUGAGUGGGGCAGACACAGGCGUCCCAGACAAAACUCCCAGGCAGAAAGCAGAGAGUAGGAAGCAGCAUCAUUGGUCCCAAGAAAUGAUGGAUCUUGCCCUCAGCAGCCCCUCUCCUGCAGCCAGAGGGGAGCGUCCUUCACCCUUGUUUUCCAGCCCCAGGCUCCUCUCUCCCGAGGCUCGUGUUCUCUGUGGCCGCAUCACACGGCGCUGGGCGGCUUUGGCUUUGUCCUGUCCACAGGCCUGAGGACCCAGGGGCACUUUUACACUUCACAGUCACAAGCAGUCUAGGCUUUACUUGCUGACACAAGCCCUUGACAGCUGCGUGGGCUCCUGGUUGGUUUGCUUCAGCCGCCCCCGUGCCAAGGAGCCCACCGGAUGGCUUCUGUCCUUGACUCCCUUGCACAGGCAUUUGUGAAAAGACCACACUCUUCAUCUCAUGUCUGCAACAAGACUGAGUCCUUUUUUUUUUUUUUUCCCAACUGAGAAGUCUUAGUUUGUCAUUGAAAGACUUUUAAAAUUUUAUUUCUGAUUGUCUGGAAUCUAGAAGUGAUGAAUGAAUUCUCCCAACACUUCAAGACCUCACAUUACUGGACUCUUUCUAUUUUCUGUCACUUCUAGUUGGAAACCAGCGAAUUCCAUCCUGGCCUCCUUUCUUUCUUAUCCCGCUUUGCUAAAGCACAAACUAAACCCAGCACACAUGGGAGCAGGCAUUUCAACUUUGUCGGGCACCACAGUCAUCUGAAGGGUUAUUAAAACACAGAUUUCUGCAACCCACAAUUUCUGACCUGGGGUCUGAAGUGGGCCCAAAACUUUGCAUUUUUAAUUUUCCAGGUAACACCGAUGCUGCUGGUCUGGGGACUACAGUUGAGGUGCCCUGGCCUACGAGCUGUGGGUUUAGGUGGUAGUGUCCUAUUUCCAAGCAAUUUCAGAUGACAGUUUUACCAGGUAUUUGCCACGGUGUGGUAUGGGUCCAAACACGUUUUCCAGAUGAGUGAUUUCCCUUCGAGUUGUGUUUCCAGGCCAAGGCCCCUCAUGUCUCCUGGUUCCACCAUCUUCAAGGGCCUCAAGGCCAAAGAACUGGUUACUUCUUGUACGUGAGGCAGGACGAUCUGAGCUCCGGCCCGGACGGAGGGCGAGCACUCGGCUCCCUUCAGUUCAGCACAGAGGAGCAGACCUGCUGCUGAGCUGCCGUGCAGCACGAGCUGGGGGAGCGGGAAAUCAUGACCCACAGGCUUGUCUUCAGAGAGCCUGUUGAGGGUGGCAUGUGAUGGGCACCUGAGCACCCAGGUCAGAGGCAGGGUGGGGGGACUUCUGGGAAGCCAGUCCUGAGUUAAAGGACUCUGGAAGCCCACGGCAGGACCAGGGUGCAGGGAAGGUGGGCAGGGGCCGGGCACAAGGCGGGACCAGGGUGCAGGGAAGGUGGGCAGGGGCCGGGCACAAGGCGAGGUCUGGCUUCUGUGGUGUGGUCCAGGACUUCUUAACAUUUCCUUACCAUGGCACACACAGAAACAGAAAAGUCUGUGGCACACCGGGGCAAACCACAGGAUUUGGGAGCAUCUGCAGGGGGCAGGAGGGAGAAAAUGCCUUUUUUAUGUUAUGUAAUCGUGAAAGAAAAGUAAAACACAAAGCAGGAGGAAAGAUCUUAAAAGGUUGAGUUUGAACAAUACUUCCAGCAAAGGUCUACUCAAACUUUAAAUGAAAAUUUUAGCUUGUUCUUACAAACAUAACUCUUUUACACCAAGCUUUAUGAGUAAAUUGGCUACAAGAAUUUCCUGACUCAGAAUUUAAGGAGUCACUGUGAUAACCACUUGGUUAUUAACAUUAUUAAUAGUACAACAAAAUAGCA